rnacentral:rRNA from 1 species
CCUACGGGAGGCAGCAGUGAGGAAUAUUGGUCAAUGGACGAGAGUCUGAACCAGCCAAGUAGCGUGCAGGAUGACUGCCCUAUGGGUUGUAAACUUCUUUUAUACGGGAAUAAACUGUUAUACGUGUGGGUUUCUGUAUGUACCAUAUGAAUAAGGAUCGGCUAACUCCGUGCCAGCAGCCGCGGUAAUACGGAGGAUUCGAGCGUUAUCCGGAUUUAUUGGGUUUAAAGGGAGCGUAGGUGGAUUGUUAAGUUAGUUGUGAAAUUUUGGGGCUCAACUUUAGAAUUGCAGCUGAAACUGUCAGUCUUGAGAACAGUAGAGGUAGGCGGAAUGCGUGGUGUAGCGGUGAAAUGCUUAGAGAUCACGAAGAACACCGAUUGCGAAGGCAGCUCACUGGACUGCAACUGACACUGAGGCUCGAAAGUGUGGGUAUCAAACAGGAUUAGAUACCCGGGUAGUC